UUUACUCCAGGAAAUACCACGUCCACUGUACGAAGAAGCAGAAUGAAGCCCAGACAAGAGCGGGGAGCGGCCUGGGCUUGUUCGGUCUUGUGGCAGUCGGGAGAAAGGCUGAAGGAAGCCACUGAGUACUUACCUGUCUCAGCAUCCCAGCAUCACUAAGAGGGGAGCUGGACGGCCAUCAUGCCUGCUUCAUGGAUGAAGAAACUGAGGCCCAGGGAAGCACCUCACAGAGCCCCAGCAGCUGACAGAGGAGCCAAGAGCAGCCUGGAAAGCUGGGCAGUGGGCCUGCUCCACGCUCCAGCUGGACCUGAAGACACCCCCAGGGGAGCCCUCUAUGCCUCCUGCCAGCCCAGUGCCUGGUAACCCCCCAAAACCUGUUACGAUUCACUCCCAAGAGGCACACUUCCUCCAGGAAGCCUCCCGCGGCUCAGAAGACCCAGCUUGGGUACAAAUCCCGGCUCUACACUAAGAAGUUGUAUAAACACAGGGCAAGGUGUUGCCCCUGGAGAACAGGCUGCUGUGGGGAUGGCCUGACACUGACCCUGGCGUGUGGCAGGGACUCUCCGGGCUAAGGCCUGUCCACCUCUGCCUUCCAAGAGCUUCUGAGCUCUCCCCUGUGAGGGCUCAAGGACCUUCAGGGAUGCAGCUUACCUCAGCAGCCAGGUCCGGCCUCAGGAGGUGCCACGUCCAGGGCCCACAGCCCCUGGCCAACCUUCCAGGGCAGAGACCACCCCAGAAGGCCCCACCUUCUCCUUUGCACCCCAGACUUGGGCCUGCUCUCCCACAAACCGGGCUC